CCCAGACUCCUACGGGAGGCAGCAGUGGGGAAUAUUGCACAAUGGGGGAAACCCUGAUGCAGCGACGCCGCGUGAGUGAAGAAGUAUUUCGGUAUGUAAAGCUCUAUCAGCAGGGAAGAUAAUGACGGUACCUGAGUAAGAAGCCCCGGCUAACUACGUGCCAGCAGCCGCGGUAAUACGUAGGGGGCAAGCGUUAUCCGGAUUUACUGGGUGUAAAGGGAGCGUAGACGGCAUGGCAAGUCUGAAGUGAAAGCCCGGGGCUCAACCGCGGGACUGCUUUGGAAACUGUUAAGCUGGAGUGCAGGAGAGGUAAGUGGAAUUCCUAGUGUAGCGGUGAAAUGCGUAGAUAUUAGGAGGAACACCAGUGGCGAAGGCGACUUUCUGGACGAUAACUGACGUUGAGGCACGAAAGUGUGGGGAGCAAACAGGAUUAGAUACCCGUGUA
rnacentral:rRNA from 1 species